CCUCCUCUUCUGUGGGAUUCCCUGAGCUCUGAGAGGAGGGAUUUGACUGAGAUCUCCAGUUUAGGCUUUCUCUCUGUGCAAUGUCUGUCUGUGGGGCUCUGUGUUUGUUCCUAUCUGCUGCUGGAGGAAGCCUGUCUGGUUAUGAAACAGGAUCAAUGUUUCCAGGCUUCCAAAGUUGACUGAGGUCCAGCGACUCUCCAGGAACACUCCAGGUCUUUGGACAGAUUGGAAGAGCUGAGCUACCCACCCUACCUCAAGGACAGAGCAGAGACUUGCCAUUACAAUUUUGACUUAAGCUAAUUUAAUAAGUUCUUUAUGUCUUGUUCUCCUAGUGAACUUUGAUUAAGGC
rnacentral:lncRNA from 1 species